GACGAACGCUGGCGGCGUGCCUAAUACAUGCAAGUCGAACGCAUUUUCUUUCACCGUAGCUUGCUACACCGAAAGAAAAUGAGUGGCGAACGGGUGAGUAACACGUGGGUAACCUGCCCAUCAGCGGGGGAUAACACUUGGAAACAGGUGCUAAUACCGCAUAAUUCCAUUUACUGCAUGGUAGAUGGAUGAAAGGCGCUUUUGCGUCACUGAUGGAUGGACCCGCGGUGCCUUAGCUAGUUGGUGGGGUAACGGCCUACCAAGGCUGCGAUGCAUAGCCGACCUGAGAGGGGGAUCGGCCACACUGGGACUGAGACACGGCCCAGACUCCUACGGGAGGCAGCAGUAGGGAAUCUUCGGCAAUGGACGCAAGUCUGACCGAGCAACGCCGCGUGAGUGAAGAAGGUUUUCGGAUCGUAAAACUCUGUUGUUAGAAAAGAACAAGGAUGAGAGUGGAAAGUUCAUCCCUUGACGGUAUCUAACCAGAAAGCCACGGCUAGCUACGUG
rnacentral:rRNA from 1 species